rnacentral:rRNA from 1 species
UUUGUUAAUUUUUUUUUUUUUAAUAAAUCUUUAAAUUUAAACGUAAGGGAGGGCGAAAGAAAAGUUUUUAUUAAUUUAUUGUGUUUUGUGGAUAAGGAUUUAUCAAUUUUUUGAAAGUUUUAAUUUUCUAGAAAAUAAAAAAUAUCAUUAUUAUGUUGUGGUUAAGAAAAAUGUGGAAAAAAAUAAAAAUAAUGAUAUUAAAGAAAAUUUAUGAUUUUAUUUAUAUCUAGUUUAAAAUUUUAGAAUUUUUAGAAUUUUUAUCUCAUAUAAAAGUAAUGCUUUUAUUUAUUUUUCUGUAAAAAAUAGCUAGAUUUUAUCUUAUAUCAUAAAUAAAAGUUUGAGUUUUAUAACUUUUUUUAUUUUUUAAGAAUUUUUUUUAAGAAUUUUUUUUAAUUUGAAUUUUUUUUAAUUUAAAAUGAUAAAAUAAGUAAAUAAGAAAGUAAUUAAAAAAAAAGAAAUUGACAAAAUAAAGUUAACUGUUUAUCAAAAACAUAGCAAAUUGUUUUAAAAUUUGUAAUUUCUGCUCACUGAUUCUUUGAAGAGCCGCUUUUGUGCAAAGGUAGCAUAAUCAUUUGUCUUUUAAUUAAAGACUUGUAUGAAUGGAGAAAUAAUUUUAUUUUUUUUUUUUUUUAUUCUUGAAAUUAAUAAAUAUGUGAAAAAGCCUAUAUUUAUAAAAUAAACGAGAAGACCCUAUAAAGAGUUUGUUAUUUAAAGUAACUUAGCUGGGGCGGCUAACUUUUUUACUAGUUUUAGAAAAAAAAAUCUAUUUGAAAAAGACCUAAAGUUUUAAAUUUUGAGAAAAUUACCUUAGGGGUAACAGCGCAAUUUAAAAAAAGAGUUCUUAUUAAAUUUUAAGUUUGUGACCUCGAUGUUGGAUUAAAAUAUCUUUUUUACGCAACCGUAAAAGAAGAUUAUCUGUUCGAUAAUUAAAAUUUUACAUGAUCUGAGUUCAAAUCGGUGUAAACCAGAUUGGUUUUUAUUUUUUAUCAGCUAGGAAUAGUACGAAAGGAUUUUUCUAGUAUUUAGCUUACUCCUUGGUCCCAAUAAUGCUAAAUUUAAACUAACAAAUUAACAUUUAUAAAAUAAGAGCAGCCGGCCCGGAGGGCAUAUUUAUUAAAGGGGUUUAGCAAAACUGCGAGUUUAUUCAUGAGAGCAGGUUAUAGAAAAAGUGUCAUGUCCAAAAUAUGCAGAGUCAAGAGAAAGGUCCGGUUUAAUUGAAUCUCGGUUGGAGACCUAUAUUAUGAAAAGGAGAGGGAAGUUUACGGUUGUAUGCUAAAUACGAGUGAGGUACGUAAAUAAAAGUUUUGUAGUGAGGAUGGAAGGAAGUUUACGGUUGUAUGCUAAAUACGAGUGAGGUACGUAAAUAAAAGUUUUGUAGUGAGGAUGGAAGGAAGUUUACCUGGAUUGUUGGGAGGCAAGUUCACUUAGGUUAAAAUUAUGGCUAUCUCUAAGGUUUAAAUUUGUGAAAUAGAGCAGCCGGCCCGGAGGGCAUAUUUAUUAAAGGGGUUUAGCAAAACUGCGAGUUUAUUCAUGAGAGCAGGUUAUAGAAAAAGUGUCAUGUCCAAAAUAUGCAGAGUCAAGAGAAAGGUCCGGUUUAAUUGAAUCUCGGUUGGAGACCUAUAUUAUGAAAAGGAGAGGGAAGUUUACGGUUGUAUGCUAAAUACGAGUGAGGUACGUAAAUAAAAGUUUUGUAGUGAGGAUGGAAGGAAGUUUACGGUUGUAUGCUAAAUACGAGUGAGGUACGUAAAUAAAAGUUUUGUAGUGAGGAUGGAAGGAAGUUUACCUGGAUUGUUGGGAGGCAGGUUCACUUAGGUUAAAAUUAUGGCUAUCUCUAAGGUUUAAAUUUGUGAAAUAGAGCAGCCGGCCCGGAGGGCAUAUUUAUUAAAGGGGUUUAGCAAAACUGCGAGUUUAUUCAUGAGAGCAGGUUAUAGAAAAAGUGUCAUGUCCAAAAUAUGCAGAGUCAAGAGAAAGGUCCGGUUUAAUUGAAUCUCGGUUGGAGACCUAUAUUAUGAAAAGGAGAGGGAAGUUUACGGUUGUAUGNUAAAUACGAGUGAGGUACGUAAAUAAAAGUUUUGUAGUGAGGAUGGAAGGAAGUUUACGGUUGUAUGCUAAAUACGAGUGAGGUACGUAAAUAAAAGUUUUGUAGUGAGGAUGGAAGGAAGUUUACGGUUGUAUGCUAAAUACGAGUGAAGUGGGUUUUAAGAGUUGUCUGGUGGGGGGAAUGUAAGUCAGGGGAGGGAGAUCUGAAUUUUUAUAAGAGCUUUAGUGUGAAAGUUUCUCUGA